rnacentral:misc_RNA from 1 species
UACGUAGGGUGCAAGCGUUAUCCGGAAUCAUUGGGCGUAAAGAGCUCGUAGGCGGUUCAACAAGUCGGCUGUGAAAGACCGAGGCUCAACCUCGGAAUUGCAGUCGAUACUGUUGUGACUCGAGUCCGGUAGAGGAGAAUGGGAUUCCCGGUGUAGCGGUGAAAUGCGCAGAUAUCGGGAGGAACACCAGUAGCGAAGGCGGUUCUCUGGGCCGGCACGGGCGCUGAGGAGCGAAAGCGUGGGUAGCAAACAGG